rnacentral:rRNA from 1 species
AGCAGUCGCCGCGGUAAUACGAAGGGGGCUAGCGUUGUUCGGAUUAACUGGGCGUAAAGGGCGCGUAGGCGGGUUUUUAAGUCAGAGGUGAAAUCCCAAGGCUCAACCUUGGAACUGCCUUUGAUACUGGAAGUCUUGAGUCCGGGAGAGGUGAGUGGAACUGCGAGUGUAGAGGUGAAAUUCGUAGAUAUUCGCAAGAACACCAGUGGCGAAGGCGGCUCACUGGCCCGGUACUGACGCUGAGGCGCGAAAGCGUGGGGAGCAAACAGGAUUAGAUACCCCCGUAGUCCCUGUCUCUUAUAA